rnacentral:rRNA from 1 species
UACGUAGGGUGCAAGCGUUAAUUGGAAUUACUGGGCGUAAAGCGUGCGCAGGCGGUUUUGUAAGUUUGUCGUGAAAGCCCCGGGCUCAACCUGGGAAUGGCGAUGAAGACUGCAAGGCUUGAAUCUGGCAGAGGGGGGUAGAAUUCCACGUGUAGCAGUGAAAUGCGUAGAGAUGUGGAGGAACACCGAUGGCGAAGGCAGCCCCCUGGGUCAAGAUUGACGCUCAUGCACGAAAGCGUGGGGAGCAAACAGG